rnacentral:rRNA from 1 species
GGGGACGACGUCAAGUCCAUCAUGGCCCUUACUCCGGGGCUGCACACGUGCUACAAUGGGCGGUACAGAGGGAAGCUACCUGGCAACAGGGUGCGAAUCUCAAAAACCGUUCUCAGUUCGGAUCGGGGUCUGCAACUCGACCCCGUGAAGUUGGAAUCGCUAGUAAUCGCAGGUCAGCAUACUGCGGUGAAUACGUUCCCGGGCCUU